rnacentral:rRNA from 1 species
ACAUGCCUACAACAUAGCAUUAAUGCAUCGGAUCCCAUUAGAACUCUCCAGUUAAGUGUGCUUAGUAUAGAGUAGUACUGGGAUGGGUGACCUCCUGGGAAGUCCUAGUGUUUUACAUGGC